GGCUACGAGUUUUGACGUCUGGUCUGCUGGCUCGCCCGGGAUGUGCACGCCUGUCUCUCCACUCUCACCUUCUGAGCUCUUUUCAUAGGCCGCUUACGCGCCCGCGUUCGCGCACUUGGAAGAGACCCUCUAAUGCUGUAUUACAAACGAUUCAUGCUUAAAAUGUCAUACUUUGCUAUAACGCAAUUAUAUACAACUUUCAGCAACGGAUCUCUUGGCUCUCGCAUCGAUGAAGAACGCAAUGAAAUGUGAUAAUUAAUGUGAAUUGCAGAAUUCAGUGAAUCAUCGAAUCUUUGAACGCACCUUGCGCUCCUUGGUGUCCGAGGAGCAUGCCUGUUUGAGUCUCAUGGAAUUCUCAACCUUCCCCUUUAUUGAUGAAGGCUUGGACUUGGAGGACGUGCCGGCUCUCCGCUCGGCUCCUCUGAAAUGCAUUAGUGCGAACGUUACCAGCCGCUUCCGCGCGAUAAUUAUCUGCGUUGCUGAGGAGGGAAUUCUAGUGAUCACGCUUCUAACUGGCUUCCCACAAAUUUCUGAACUCUGAGCUCAAAUCAGGAAGGACUACCCGCUGAACUUAAGCAUAGGAAUAAGCGGAGGAA
rnacentral:rRNA from 1 species